UCCAACCUGCCCACCACUUGGGGAUAACCUUGCGAAAGUAAGACUAAUACCCAAUGAUAUCUCUAGAAGACAUCUGAAGGAGAUUAAAGAUUUAUCGGUGAUGGAUGGGGAUGCGUCUGAUUAGCUUGUUGGCGGGGUAACGGCCCACCAAGGCAACGAUCAGUAGGGGUUCUGAGAGGAAGGUCCCCCACAUUGGAACUGAGACACGGUCCAAACUCCUACGGGAGGCAGCAGUGAGGAAUAUUGGUCAAUGGACGAGAGUCUGAACCAGCCAAGUAGCGUGCAGGAUGACGGCCCUAUGGGUUGUAAACUGCUUUUAUAAGGGAAUAAAGUGAGUCUCGUGAGAUUUUUUGCAUGUACCUUAUGAAUAAGGACCGGCUAAUUCCGUGCCAGCAGCCGCGGUAAUACGGAAGGUCCGGGCGUUAUCCGGAUUUAUUGGGUUUAAAGGGAGCGUAGGCCGGAGAUUAAGCGUGUUGUGAAAUGUAGAUGCUCAACAUCUGCACUGCAGCGCGAACUGGUUUCCUUGAGUACGCACAAAGUGGGCGGAAUUCGUGGUGUAGCGGUGAAAUGCUUAGAUAUCACGAAGAACUCCGAUUGCGAAGGCAGCCCGCUAAGCUGCAACUG
rnacentral:rRNA from 1 species